rnacentral:lncRNA from 7 species
GGUCACUGACUGAGUGAGCUCAGAAAUGGUGUUUUAGUGCUGCUUGUGAGAUCGCAGUCCUUUGUUGCUGUUUCAAAUUUCAGCUAUUAACAAUCUUCAACUCACAGUUGUGAUAUAUCUACACUGGAUAUUAUCAACUUGAUAGUGUUUUCUGGAGAGCUACUUUGAGGAUAGGAUCCUUCACUACUGAGGCUGAGGACUUCUUGUGUUGCUCAUCACAUAAGAUGCAUGGAGCUGUUCCAGUCACCUGCUGCCUAUCUUACUGCUGGAGGUACCUGGGUGCCACAAGGCAGCUUAAAUGAUUCAGAGCAGAGACAUUCAGCAAGCACGAGUUAAUAGUUUUGGGCUGAGUCUUGGCAUUCACAUGCUGCUGCCCUUAUAUCUGCCAUUGUAGCCAUAGGAGAAGGGAGUGAUGGAGGAGUGAGUCACUGCCCAAGGCAUCAUCUACAGCAUCUUCUCUGCAGGCGGGUUUUACAACUACUUUAAGUCUUCUGGCAAGAGAACCAUUGAAAAGAAGUGAAAAACAACCAGCUUUUGCAGCAAUAAAUUGUCAGACGAGAUGGCUUAGUAAAUCUGUCUUGAGUCAAGGCAGUGCAAUGGUGCUGUCAGUUGUCUGCCAGCUUUGGAGCACUUGCAUUCUUUGAACAGAAGUAAACUCUGAAAUGUAGAUCUGCAGGGUUUAAUUGGAUUGGCGAGUGGUAAUUUAAGUAGAAGAUAGACACAGGUGAAUGCCAAAGAAAAUGGGAAACCAAAGCUACUGGGGACAGAUGGGUGAGAAAAGCACAGGAGACAGAGGUGCAAUGUUAUGCAAGGCACAGUGGGCCUAUUUCAGGGUGAAGAUGAAAGAAGGGAUGCUAUCUGAGUGGUGUAUUCUAUCUGUUUGGAAACUUUUCAGUAGCAAGGACUGUCAAGUGACUCUGGUGAUAACAGAUGAAGAAGCAGCAAAUUCAGGGGCAUAACAAAUGAUGUGAAUAGGAGGAUAGGUGUUGCAGCCACUGGUUACUCAUUAAGGAUGGAGGUGUUAGGGAGGAGCAGGACAACUGAUGAAGCAAAGAAGUUGCAGACAACAAUGGCUUUGGUGUAGGCGUGGUGCGUUUGAGAGGGAUUUUUUGUUGCUUCCCCCCUCACCCCCCACUGCUAAUUUCCUUGCAGUGAAUUUAUGAUCUGUUCUGUUAGAUUUGAUCCUGUAAGGAAUUGCGCCAAUAACAAAACUCGUGCUGAGGAGCUGUGUUUGAGAUCUGGCAAAAACACUUGGAUUCUUUGCUGCUUUUGCUAUCAAGAGUGUACUGCCUCCAGUACUUCCAGUCCUCAGCAGAGAUGAGAUACAGAAUUAACUGCAUGUGUGCUAAAGUAUGCAAAGUCAAUGAAUGCAUUGACCAAAUAAUGCAACCUUUUAAACAGUCUUCUAAGUAAGACUGGAAAGUCAACUUUAAAAAGUCAAAAAUGAUUUUCAGGUGCUAUUUUUGACAACUGAGCCCUUAUUGAAAAUUGCUGCUUCAAUGUAUAAAAGCUGAUAAAUUUAGUCAGUUACCUCACUGAAGUAAAAUAUUUUGCCUGC